rnacentral:rRNA from 1 species
GAUGAACGCUGGCGGCGUGCCUAAUACAUGCCAGUCGAGCGAACAGACGAGGAGCUUGCUCCUCUGACGUUAGCGGCGGACGGGUGAGUAACACGUGGAUAACCUACCUAUAAGACUGGGAUAACUUCGGGAAACCGGAGCUAAUACCGGAUAAUAUAUUGAACCGCAUGGUUCAAUAGUGAAAGACGGUUUUGCUGUCACUUAUAGAUGGAUCCGCGCCGCAUUAGCUAGUUGGUAAGGUAACGGCUUACCAAGGCGACGAUGCGUAGCCGACCUGAGAGGGUGAUCGGCCACACUGGAACUGAGACACGGUCCAGACUCCUACGGGAGGCAGCAGUAGGGAAUCUUCCGCAAUGGGCGAAAGCCUGACGGAGCAACGCCGCGUGAGUGAUGAGGGUCUUCGGAUCGUAAAACUCUGUUAUUAGGGAAGAACAAAUGUGUAAGUAACUAUGCACGUCUUGACGGUACCUAAUCAGAAAGCCACGGCUAACUACGUG